GGCAGUUUAGUGGAAAGAUCACGGGCCUGGGACUCAGAGGACCUGGGUUUUAAUCCCAGAUCUGCCA
rnacentral:tRNA from 1 species